rnacentral:rRNA from 1 species
UACGGGGGGUGCGAGCGUUGUCCGGAUUCACUGGGCGUAAAGGGCGCGUAGGCGGAUCGGUAAGUCUACUCUGAAAGCUCCUGGCUAAACUGGGAGAGGCGAGUGGAGACUGUCGGUCUAGAGUGAGGAAGAGGAAAGUGGAAUUCCGCGUGUAGUGGUGAAAUGCGUAGAGAUGCGGAGGAACACCAGUGGCGAAAGCGGCUUUCUGGUCCUUAACUGACGCUGAGGCGCGAAAGCAUGGGGAGCGAACGGG